ACCCUGAUCCAGCCAUGCCGCGUGCGGGAAGAAGGCCUUCGGGUUGUAAACCGCUUUCGGCCGGAACGAAAUCGGCGGGAUGAAUAGUCUCGCUGGAUGACGGUACCGGAAGAAGAAGCACCGGCUAACUACGUGCCAGCAGCCGCGGUAAUACGUAGGGUGCGAGCGUUAAUCGGAAUUACUGGGCGUAAAGCGUGCGCAGGCGGCCGCGUAAGCCAGAGGUGAAAUCCCCGGGCUCAACCUGGGAAUGGCCUUUGGGACUGCGUGGCUCGAGUGCGGCAGAGGGGGGUGGAAUUCCUGGUGUAGCAGUGAAAUGCGUAGAUAUCAGGAGGAACACCGAUGGCGAAGGCAGCCCCCUGGGCCAGCACUGACGCUCAUGCACGAAAGCGUGGGGAGCAAACAGGAUUAGAUACCCUGGUAGUCCACGCCCUAAACGAUGACGACUAGUUGUUGGGGGAGCAAUCCCUUAGUAACGUAGCUAACGCGUGAAGUCGUCCGC
rnacentral:rRNA from 1 species